rnacentral:tRNA from 1 species
GGGGUGAUGGCAAUAAAAUGCUCUUGUUUGGUUCGGGACCAAGAGGCCGCAGGUUCAAAUCCUGUCGCUCCG